GGGGAGUACAUCCUGCCCAGUGACUCACGAGUUUAACGGCCGCGGUACCCUGACCGUGCUAAGGUAGCAUAUAAUAUGCCCUUUAAUUGAGGGCUAGAAUGAACGGACAAACGAAAAUAUAACUGUCUCUAUAGUGAAACCAAAAAUUAAUAUUCAGGUGAAGAAGCCUGAAUAAACCUAAAAGACAAGAAGACCCUGUAGAGCUUUACCUAAAAAUACCUAAUAAAAGAGUAAAAUAUAUCUUUAUCAUCACUACUUUUAGGUUUGACUGGGGCGGUCAGAGAGCAAAUCAACCCUCUCCUCUAUACUUAGGCCCAUUAGCCACUAAAUUAUUGAUCCUAAAAUGAUUAUAAGAAAUAGCUACCUCAGGGAUAACAGACUAAUCUCUUCUAAGAGCACCUAUUGAAGAAGAGGUUUGGCACCUCGAUGUUGGCUUAGAGUAUCCCAGGAGUUGCAGAAGCCCCUAACGGUAGGUGUGUUCAA
rnacentral:rRNA from 1 species